GGAUGAGGUAGAGGCGCAAAAGGCAUCAGUAACAUAUUUGAGGAUGACAACGAUGAACAUAUGUGAAAGGGUCUUUUGCCGAAGUCGAACUUGUGUCAACCAAGUUUUGAUUGGUGUUGCUUUGAAAAAAAGUAACACUCUCAUAUUUUAGCGUUUUUUAGUGUGUGUUCACUUUUUAUUAGCCUUUUUGAACAUCCUAUUUCGCUGAAUAUGGGGAGCUACAGAUCAC
rfam:Bacillus galactosidilyticus strain PL133 scaffold000091, whole genome shotgun sequence.